rnacentral:rRNA from 1 species
ACGAUGGAUAGGGGUUCUGAGAGGAAGGUCCCCCACAUUGGUACUGAGACACGGACCAAACUCCUACGGGAGGCAGCAGUGAGGAAUAUUGGUCAAUGGGCGUAAGCCUGAACCAGCCAAGUCGCGUGAGGGAUGAAGGUUCUAUGGAUCGUAAACCUCUUUUAUAAGGGAAUAAAGUGCGGGACGUGUCCCGUUUUGUAUGUACCUUAUGAAUAAGGAUCGGCUAACUCCGUGCCAGCAGCCGCGGUAAUACGGAGGAUCCGAGCGUUAUCCGGAUUUAUUGGGUUUAAAGGGUGCGUAGGCGGCCUUUUAAGUCAGCGGUGAAAGUCUGUGGCUCAACCAUAGAAUUGCCGUUGAAACUGGGAGGCUUGAGUAUGUUUGAGGCAGGCGGAAUGCGUGGUGUAGCGGUGAAAUGCUUAGAUAUCACGCAGAACCCCGAUUGCGAAGGCAGCCUGCCAAGCCAUGACUGACGCUGAUGCACGAAAGCGUGGGGAUCAAACAGGAUUAGAUACCCUGGUAGUCCACGCAGUAAACGAUGAUCACUAGCUGUUUGCGAUACACAGUAA